rnacentral:snRNA from 1 species
AUACCUUUCUCGGCCUUUUGGCUAAGAUCAAGUGUAGUUAUCUGUUCUUAUCAGUUUAAUAUCUGAUAUGUGGACUACAUGUCCACAACGAUAUUAAAUUUAUUUUUCGUGGGGGUGGGCCCACCACAGUAGCUUGCUGCUGGGGUCCACAUGCGUCGCCUGGGCGUUGCACUGCUGCCCUGGCCCGGCGCACCCCAA